rnacentral:lncRNA from 1 species
UACAUGGGCAGUGGAUGGAAGGGGGCCCCUGGCUGGGCUCUCUGCCCUCUCUGGCAGAAAGAGAGGGAAGGGAAAGGGGUUGGGAAGCAGGAGAGCCAGAGGGUGGGCAUCAGGAAUCAAGGAAUCACUAGGGGAAAGGUGGCUUCUCCCGACACCCUGGCGGGCAGUAUCCAGGCCUGAGAUCAGGAGAAAGCCAGCUCUCCUCCAGCCCAGCAGAGAUCCAUCUCGGCAGGGAGGAGCAGGCAUGGAGGAAGGCCCACCAACCUCGGUGCCACGCUCUGGGCUGCCCGGGCCAGUACUGGGGCCCCGACUGCCGUGAGAGCUGCCCCUGCCACCCGCACGGCCAGUGCGAGCCAGCCACGGGCGCGUGCCAGUGCCAGGCCGACCGCUGGGGAGCCCGCUGCGAGUUCCCGUGCGCCUGCGGCCCCCACGGGCGCUGCGACCCCGCGACCGGCGUGUGCCACUGCGAACCCGGCUGGUGGUCGUCCACGUGCCGCCGCCCGUGCCAGUGCAACACCGCGGCGGCGCGCUGCGAGCAGGCCACGGGCGCCUGCGUGUGCAAGCCGGGCUGGUGGGGGCGCCGCUGCAGCUUCCGCUGCAACUGCCACGGCUCCCCGUGCGAGCAGGACUCCGGCCGCUGCGCCUGCCGGCCGGGCUGGUGGGGUCCCGAAUGCCAGCAGCAGUGCGAGUGUGUGCGGGGCCGCUGCAGCGCCGCCUCCGGCGAGUGCACCUGCCCGCCCGGCUUCCGCGGAGCGCGCUGCGAGCUGCCCUGCCCGGCAGGCAGCCACGGGGUGCAGUGCGCACACAGCUGUGGCCGCUGCAAACACAAUGAGCCGUGCUCUCCAGACACAGGCAGCUGUGAGUCCUGCGAGCCGGGCUGGAACGGGACCCAGU